AUUGAACGCUGGCGGAAUGCUUUACACAUGCAAGUCGAACGGCAGCACGGACUUCGGUCUGGUGGCGAGUGGCGCACGGGUGAGUAAUGUAUCGGAACGUGCCCAGUCGUGGGGGAUAACGUAGUGAAAAUUGCGCUAAUACCGCAUACGAUCUAUGGAUGAAAGCGGGGGAUCGCAAGACCUCGCGCGAUUGGAGCGGCCGAUAUCAGAUUAGGUAGUUGGUGGGGGAAAGGCCCACCAAGCCAACGAUCUGUAGCUGGUCUGCGAGGACGACCAGCCACACUGGUACUGAGACACGGUCCAGAUUCGUACGUGAGGCAGCAGUGGGGAAUUUUGGACAAUGGGCGAAAGCCUGAUCCAGCCAUUCCGCGUGAAGGAUGAAGGCCCUCGGGUUGUGAACUGCUUUUGUACAGAACGAAAAGGUUUCUACUAAUACUAGGAGCUCAUGACGGUACUGUAAGAAUAAGCACCGGCUAACUACGUGCCAGCAGCCGCCGUAA
rnacentral:rRNA from 1 species